GGGGGGGGCUGUGGCUGUUAGAUAGGAUGGCUUGGUCCUGGAGCCCCAUCUUAGGAGACUUCCUAGAUCCUCAACCUCCCUCCAAGCCCUUGCAGAGCAUGGGUGGUGGUUCACUGUAACAUACUCUCUUCUGUGUUGGGACUGGAGCCCGGCAGCCCCCUGCUGCGAUUCAUGUUGGCUCCCUCAUUCCCAAGAACGUGGGGUAGCAGCGUCACGUGAACACACAAACAGAUAAUACUUCUCUGCUGUGAUUGUGAGGGAAGCAUUGUGUUCCCUAAAUGCCAAUGGUCCCUCUAACUGGGGCCUCCAAGCCGGGCCAGGAGGAGUGUGAGUGGAGUAGUUGGGCCUCAGCGAGAAGGAGAGGAACAGCAUGUGCAAGCUUGGGAAAAGAGCCCAAGCGUCUCGGAGACACAAGAAGUAGCUGAGAACAACAGAUGUGGAAAGUUCCUUUACCUGAAAGAUGAGGAUAUUGAUAGUAGAUGCCUGUAUUUGAAAAGUCUACAAGAAGCCCUGAUAAGAUCCAUACUGCUGGAGCGUGCGAGCAAAUACAAUAGAAGACUCGCCCUGGUGGUGUGCGGAGGGAAGCUAAGAACAUCCACAAUUGUGGGUGCAGGACAAGCUGGAGAAGGUGGUGAGGGUGCCAACCACAGGGAUGAAGAAUGAUGGGUGUAAGAUGCCCUCCCAUUGUCUGGCGAUUGAGGGAAGCCGUGGCACUCCACAGACUGAGAAUCCCACAACCAAGCAGUUCUACAGUGUGGGAAGAGGCUCUGAGUGUGGUCUAUUA